rnacentral:rRNA from 1 species
AUUGAACGCUGGCGGCAGGCCUAACACAUGCAAGUCGAGCGGAUGAAGGGAGCUUGCUCCUGGAUUCAGCGGCGGACGAGUGAGUAAUGCCUAGGAAUCUGCCUGGUAGUGGGGGAUAACGUCCGGAAACGGGCGCUAAUACCGCAUACGUCCUGAGGGAGAAAGUGGGGGAUCUUCGGACCUCACGCUAUCAGAUGAGCCUAGGUCGGAUUAGCUAGUUGGUGGGGUAAAGGCCUACCAAGGCGACGAUCCGUAACUGGUCUGAGAGGAUGAUCAGUCACACUGGAACUGAGACACGGUCCAGACUCCUACGGGAGGCAGCAGUGGGGAAUAUUGGACAAUGGGCGAAAGCCUGAUCCAGCCAUGCCGCGUGUGUGAAGAAGGUCUUCGGAUUGUAAAGCACUUUAAGUUGGGAGGAAGGGCAGUAAGUUAAUACCUUGCUGUUUUGACGUUACCAACAGAAUAAGCACCGGUUAACUUCGUG